rnacentral:rRNA from 1 species
UGCCGCGUGCAGGAAGACUGCCCUAUGGGUUGUAAACUGCUUUUAUAGGGGAAGAACCCCCUCCACGUGUGGAGGGCUGACGGUACCCUACGAAUAAGGAUCGGCUAACUCCGUGCCAGCAGCCGCGGUAAUACGGAGGAUCCAAGCGUUAUCCGGAAUCAUUGGGUUUAAAGGGUCCGUAGGCGGGCAGUUAAGUCAGUGGUGAAAGUCCUCCGCUCAACGGGGGAACUGCCAUUGAUACUGAUUGUCUUGAGUCACUGUGAAGUGGUUGGAAUGAGUAGUGUAGCGGUGAAAUGCAUAGAUAUUACUCAGAACACCUAUUGCGAAGGCAGAUCACUAACAGUGCACUGACGCUGAUGGACGAAAGCGUAGGUAGCGAACAGGAUUAGAUACCCUGGUAGUCUACGCCGUAAACGAUGGUCACUAGCUGUCCGGCCCAAUUGAGGGCUGGGUGGUUAAGCGAAAGUGAUAAGUGACCCACCUGGGGAGUACGUUCGCAAGAAUGAAACUCA